AAGUCGUAACAAGGUUUCCGUAGGUGAACCUGCGGAAGGAUCAUUACCGAGUGCGGGUCUGCCCCCGGGCGCCCAACCUCCCCCCCGUGAAUACGUGACCCUGUUGCUUCGGCGGCGUGUUCCCCCCCGGGGGGUCCGCCGCCGGGGACCAUUGAACCCCGAACCGAGUAUGUUGCAGUCUGAGCUUUAAUAGCAAAUCAGUCAAAACUUUCAACAAUGGAUCUCUUGGUUCCG
rnacentral:misc_RNA from 1 species